AAACAGACUUCAUCAUAAGUUUUUACUUGGUUAGCAUUCUAAAGUUUUAAUUGUUCGACAUUGAACCACAUGUUGUCAACAUAAGAAGCGUAAAGAGAGUCGUUCCACUCAAACAU